GGAGAGAUGGCAGAGUGGUCGAAUGCGCCGGUUUCGAAAACCGGUGUGCCCGCAAGGGCACCGGGGGUUCGAAUCCCUCUCUCUCCGCCA
rnacentral:tRNA from 1 species